UAUGGCUGUCGUCAGCUCGUGCCGUGAGGUGUUGGGUUAAGUCCCGCAACGAGCGCAACCCUUAUCCUAUGUUACCUCGCAAGAGGGUCUCUUAGGAAACUGCCGGCGAUGAGCUGGAGGAAGGUGGGGACGACGUCAAGUCAUCAUGGCCCUUAUGUCCAGGGCUACACACGUGCUACAAUGGCUACUACAGAGGGAAGCAAGACCGUGAGGUGGAGCCAAUCCCUAAAAGUAGUCGUAGUUGGGAUCGGAGUCUGCAACUCGACUCCGUGAACCUGGAAUCGCUAGUAAUCGCGGAUCAGAACGCCGCGGUGAAUACGUUCCCGGGCCUUGUACACACCGCCCGUA
rnacentral:rRNA from 1 species